GUGUCAGCAGCCGCGGUAAUACGUAGGGGGCGAGCGUUGUCCGAAUUUAUUGGGCGUAAAGCGCGUGUAGGCGGCCUUUUAAGUCAGAUGUGAAAUCUUGCGGCUCAACCGCAAAACUGCAUUUGAUACUGGAGGGCUUGAGUUUGGGAGAGGAAAGCGGAAUUCCUGGUGUAGCGGUGAAAUGCAUAGAUAUCAGGAGGAACACCCGUGGCGAAGGCGGCUUUCUGGCCCAACACUGACGCUGAGAUGCGAAAGCUGGGGGAGCAAACGGGAUUAGAUACCCCGGUAGUCCCAGCCGUAAACGAUGGAUACUAGGUGUUAGUGGUAUCGACCCCACUAGUGCCGUAGCUAACGCAUUAAGUAUCCCGCCUGGGGAGUACGGCCGCAAGGUUGAAACUUAAAUGAAUUGACGGGG
rnacentral:rRNA from 1 species